AUGGACAUCCAGGUGUUUGGGAUCACCAAUCGAAGGCCAGAAACCCCAGCCCGAGCUCAGAGGGCAGCCUCUGCUCUGAUUUUCUUUGUUAGCUGGGGGAUAGAGGGUCGAUCCCCAUUGAAGAUGCAGGCGUUACGCUGUUUCCUGAUCAUCCAUCCCGUCAGCAGCGUCGCGGUGGCCAGUCCCUUGCAAAGUGGUUUGGGAGCCGUCUCUUUGGCAGCCAGCCACCAUUUGUUGAUGGAGGCGUCUUGGUCCGGUGGCCUGCACGUCAUCCAGAGGGUAUCAUCCCAUACCUGCCUUGAGAAAGGGCAGGAAACUAGUAGGUGGUGCAUUGUCUCUGGUUCAUGGUCGCAAAGGACGCUGCGUGGGUGGUGCUGCAGGCCGGGGCGUUGCAAUCUCUCGGCAGUCCAGCACCUGUCCAGGUUCUUAGUGAGCUGUGAGCCGUGGAACUAUGAGCAGGGCUGGAAAGCGACUCUGGAAGAAGUUGUCGAGUAUGUCCUGAAGCAGUGGCGAAUGGACAGGAGCAAGCUCAAGAGGAAGCAUGCCGAAGAAGAUGCUGGAAGCACUUGGUCAAUUGACAUGAUGGGUUAA
rnacentral:rRNA from 1 species